rnacentral:rRNA from 1 species
GUUAUGAGAAGAAGAUACUAAGGGCGCACGGCGGAUGCCUUGGCACAGGAAGUCGAAGAAGGACGCGGCAAGCUGCGAUAAGCUCCGGGGAGGCGCAAACGGCCUUCGAUCCGGAGAUCUCCGAAUGGGGGAACCCAGCAGGGGUCAUGCCCUGCUACCCGCGCCUGAAUGAAAUAGGGCGCGAGGAGGCAACCCGGGGAACUGAAACAUCUAAGUACCCGGAGGAAGAGAAAUCAACCGAGAUUGCGGGAGUAGCGGCGAGCGAAACCGCACCAGCCCAAACCCAUGCACGUGCAAGCUUGAGGGCGUUGCUGCAUGAGGGGUUG